UAGCAGGAAAGUGACAGGGAACCUCCCAGGCACAGAAGGAAAGGGAAACAAUGCAGCUGACCUGACUGAGAACCAUCCCACUAACCCGACCACUGCUGGCCUUUGCAGGACACCAUGAACCAUACAGUCCAAACCUUCUUCUCUCCUAUCAACAGUGGCCAGCCACCCCACUAUGAGACGCUCAAGGAGAAGCACGAGGUGGCUGUGCUGAGGGUGCCCCACAACACUGCUCCCCCAACGUCCACCGUGAUCCACAUCUGCAGCGAGACCUCCGUGCCUGAUCAUGUCGUCUGGUCCCUGUUCAACACCCUCUUCAUGCUCUUCAUGAACCCCUGCUGCCUGGGCUUCAUAGCAUUCUCCUACUCUGUGAAGUCUAGGGACAGGAAGAUGGCUGGUGACUUGACUGGGGCCUAGGCCUAUGCUUCCACCGCUAAGUGCCUGAACAUCUGGGCCCUGAUUUUGGGCAUCCUCAUGACCAUUCUGCUCAUCGUCAUCCCAGUAUUGAUCUUGCAAGCCUAUUGAUAGAUCAGGAGACAUCAUUCAGGCCAGGAGCUCUGCCCAUAACCUGUAUCCCACGUGCUCCACCUUCCAUUCCUCGCCCUGCCCCCGGAGCUGAGUCCCGUAUCAGCCCUUUAUCCUCACACACUUUUCUACAAUGGCAUUCAAUAAAGUGUAUAUGUUUCUGAAAAAAAAAAAAAAAAAAAA